UGGAGAGUUUGAUCCUGGCUCAGAUUGAACGCUGGCGGCAUGCCUAACACAUGCAAGUCGAACGUGAAAGGGGGCAACCCCGAGUAGAGUGGCGGACGGGUGAGUAACGCGUAGGAAUCUACCUGGUAGUGGGGGACAACCCGGCGAAAGCCGGGCUAAUACCGCAUACGAUCCACGGAUGAAAGCAGGGGACCGCAAGGCCUUGCGCUAUCAGAUGAGCCUGCGUCGGAUUAGCUAGUUGGUGAGGUAAUGGCUCACCAAGGCAACGAUCCGUAGCUGGUCUGAGAGGACGACCAGCCACACUGGGACUGAGACACGGCCCAGACUCCUACGGGAGGCAGCAGUGGGGAAUAUUGGACAAUGGGGGCAACCCUGAUCCAGCAAUGCCGCGUGUGUGAAGAAGGCCUUCGGGUUGUAAAGCACUUUCGGUGGGGACGAACAUGGUCGGGUGAAUAUCCCGGCCCUUGACGGUACCCAAAGAAGAAGCACCGGCUAACUCUGUGCCAGCAGCCGCGGUAAUACAGAGGGUGCAAGCG
rnacentral:rRNA from 1 species